CCUACGGGUGGCAGCAUGGGGAGUAGCAAUACUCUCUGAUGGCGACCGGCGCAAGGGUGAGGAAGUACUUCGGUAUGUAAAGCCCUAUCAGCAGGGAAGAAAAUGACGGUACCUGACUAAGAAGCCCCGGCUAACUACGUGCCAGCAGCCGCGGUAAUACGUAGGGGGCAAGCGUUAUCCGGAUUUACUGGGUGUAAAGGGAGCGUAGACGGCGUGCCAAGUCUGGUGUGAAAGGCCGGGGCUCAACCCCGGGAAUGCAUUGGAAACUGGCCUGCUGGAGUGCCGGAGGGGCGAGCGGAAUUCCUAGUGUAGCGGUGAAAUGCGUAGAUAUUAGGAGGAACACCGGUGGCGAAGGCGGCUUGCUGGACGGUAACUGACGUUGAGGCUCGAAAGCGUGGGGAGCAAACAGGAUUAGAUACCCUUGUAGUC
rnacentral:rRNA from 1 species